ensembl:misc_RNA Metazoa_SRP Metazoan signal recognition particle RNA
GCUGGGCAUGGUGGUGCAUACUUGUAAUCCCAGCUUCUCAGGUGGCUGAGGCAGGAGAAUCACUUGAGUCUGGGAGGCCGGGUUUGCAGUGAGCCAAGAUGGGGCCACUGCACUCCAGCCUGGGCAACAGAGUGAGACUCUGUCUUAC